rnacentral:lncRNA from 1 species
AUGGAAACUGUAAUGACUUCGUGAAGCAUGACACAAAAAUAUGAGCAUUUCAUGAUUUAUUUGAUUUUCACUAUUAUCUGGUUUGAUGUGUGUCUGUUUGGAUUAUGUUAAUGUACUAUUUUCCUAAUAAAUAAAUUAUUUUCAUAAUGUAAGAUAAGUCUAUUAAGUAGCCAACUGGUAAGUAUUUUAUAUUAAAAUAAUUCAUAUUUGAAACCUUACGAUGUUAUUUAAAUAC